rnacentral:rRNA from 1 species
UAGCUAGUUGGUAGGGUAAAGGCCUACCAAGGCGACGAUCGGUAGCUGGUCUGAGAGGAUGGCCAGCCACACUGGGACUGAGACACGGCCCAGACUCCUACGGGAGGCAGCAGUGGGGAAUAUUGGACAAUGGGGGCAACCCUGAUCCAGCAAUGCCGCGUGUGUGAAGAAGGCCUGAGGGUUGUAAAGCACUUUCAGUGGGGAGGAGGAUUGAUUGGUUAAGAGCUGAUUGAUUGGACGUUACCUACAGAAGAAGCACCGGCUAACUCCGUGCCAGCAGCCGCGGUAAUACGGAGGGUGCGAGCGUUAAUCGGAAUUACUGGGCGUAAAGGGUGCGUAGGUGGUUAGAUAAGUUAGCUGUGAAAUCCCCGGGCUCAACCUGGGCAGGUCAGCUAAGACUGUUUGACUCGAGUAUGGGAGAGGGUAGUGGAAUUUCCGGUGUAGCGGUGAAAUGCGUAGAGAUCGGAAGGAACACCAGUGGCGAAGGCGGCUACCUGGCCUAAUACUGACACUGAGGCACGAAAGCGUGGGGAGCAAACAGGAUUAGACACCCUGGUAGUCCACGCCGUAAACGAUGUCAACUAGUUGUUGGCCUUAUGAAUGAGGUUAGUGACGA